rnacentral:rRNA from 1 species
ACGGGUGGAGUAACGCGUGGGUAACCUGCCCUGUACAGGGGGAGUAACAGUCAGAAAUGACUGCUAAUACCGCAUAAGACCACAGCACCGCAUGGUGCAGGGGUAAAAACUACCGGUGGUACAGGAUGGACCCGCGUCUGAUUAGCUGGUUGGUGAGGUAACGGCUCACCAAGGCGACGAUCAGUAGCCGGCUUGAGAGAGUGAACGGCCACAUUGGGACUGAGACACGGCCCAAACUCCUACGGGAGGCAGCAUG